GAUGAACGCUGGCGGCGUGCCUAAUACAUGCAAGUAGAACGCUGAAGGAAGGAGCUUGCUCUUUCCGGAUGAGUUGCGAACGGGUGAGUAACGCGUAGGUAACCUGCCUGGUAGCGGGGGAUAACUAUUGGAAACGAUAGCUAGUACCGCAUAACAGUAGAUGUUGCAUGAUAUCUACUUAAAAGGUGCAAUUGCACCACUACCAGAUGGACCUGCGUUGUAUUAGCUAGUUGGUGAGGUAACGGCUCACCAAGGCGACAAUACAUAGCCGACCUGAGAGGGUGAUCGGCCACACUGGGACUGAGACACGGCCCAGACUCCUACGGGAGGCAGCAGUAGGGAAUCUUCGGCAAUAGACGGAAGUCUGACCGAGCAACGCCGCGUGAGUGAAGAAGGUUUUCGGAUCGUAAAGCUCUGUUGUAAGAGAAGAACGAGUGUGAGAGUGGAAAGUUCACACUGUGACGGUAUCUUACCAGAAAGGGACGGCUAACUACGUG
rnacentral:rRNA from 1 species